AAUGAACGCUGGCGGCAUGCCUAACACAUGCAAGUCGAACGAAGGCUUCGGCCUUAGUGGCGCACGGGUGCGUAACGCGUGGGAAUCUGCCCUCAGGUUCGGAAUAACAGCGAGAAAUUGCUGCUAAUACCGGAUGAUAUCGCGAGAUCAAAGAUUUAUCGCCUGAGGAUGAGCCCGCGUAGGAUUAGCUAGUUGGUGUGGUAAAGGCGAACCAAGGCGACGAUCCUUAGCUGGUCUGAGAGGAUGAUCAGCCACACUGGGACUGAGACACGGCCCAGACUCCUACGGGAGGCAGCAGUGGGGAAUAUUGGACAAUGGGCGAAAGCCUGAUCCAGCAUGCCGCGUGAGUGAUGAAGGCCUUAGGGUUGUAAAGCUCUUUUACCCGGGAUGAUAAUGACAGUACCGGGAGAAUAAGCUCCGGCUAACUCCGUGCCAGCAGCCGCCGCCG
rnacentral:rRNA from 1 species